UAGACUUCACGCAGUUCUGGUGCCCGCGUGCGAGCUUCUUUCGCGCGCAGUUAAACGGGAAGCAGGAAGCGCAUCGCUCCAUACGAACGGACGCACGCCAACCUGCGCUGCCCCCGCAACGGUAAGCGACUGGCGGUAUCGGCUAUGACGAUACCGCGCGUUGCGCACGAAGCCACUGUCGGUUCACGGCAGGAAGGCGGUGCAACGAGGUCGCAAGCCCGGAUACCGGCCAGAAUUUCGCAGGGACCA
rnacentral:ncRNA from 1 species